CCUACGGGAGGCAGCAGUGGGGAAUAUUGCACAAUGGGCGAAAGCCUGAUGCAGCGACGCCGCGUGAGGGAUGACGGCCUUCGGGUUGUAAACCUCUUUCAGCAGGGAAGAAGCGAAAGUGACGGUACCUGCAGAAGAAGCGCCGGCUAACUACGUGCCAGCAGCCGCGGUAAUACGUAGGGCGCAAGCGUUGUCCGGAAUUAUUGGGCGUAAAGAGCUCGUAGGCGGCUUGUCACGUCGGGUGUGAAAGCCCGGGGCUUAACCCCGGGUCUGCAUUCGAUACGGGCUAGCUAGAGUGUGGUAGGGGAGAUCGGAAUUCCUGGUGUAGCGGUGAAAUGCGCAGAUAUCAGGAGGAACACCGGUGGCGAAGGCGGAUCUCUGGGCCAUUACUGACGCUGAGGAGCGAAAGCGUGGGGAGCGAACAGGAUUAGAUACCCUGGUAGUCCACGCCGUAAACGGUGGGAACUAGGUGUUGGCGACAUUCCACGUCGUCGGUGCCGCAGCUAACGCAUUAAGUUCCCCGCCUGGGGAGUACGGCCGCAAGGCUAAAACCUUAAAGGAAUUGACGGCUGNGAGNGCGACGCGACGACGAGGAGAG
rnacentral:rRNA from 1 species